UGACUUGUCUCCAUUCUCCGCGUCUCCUCUCUCUCUUUUAAUCCCCACUCCCUCCCUAGGGUCUCUGUUGCUCGUCCGGCGGGUCGGGACAGCGCAGAAGUUAAAUCAUGUUGCUGUAGGUGUGUGCAUUUAAUUGGCAGAUUUAUCCUUCAAUAUAUGAAAAGAUCUGCUUUCGACGAUUUCACAUUGAGUACUGUUUCACUUUGAGAGCAAGUUUCUAAAAUGGUAGGUGUGACAUUGAGACACUGUAGGAGCUGACUGAGGACAAAGACUGUACAACAUAGAAUUUUUCUUUUUUUCAUUUUUCUGCCAGUCUGAAGUCAGAUUGACCUUUAUUCCCUCUGGCUUUUACCCUUAAACUUUUGUGUCUCGUUAAAGAAGUUGUUCUAAUUUUAAUGAUUAAGGCUUUUUAUAAAAUUAAACAUGUUUACAGGAAAGGGAUCUUGAAUUCCAAAUGAGAAUGUCUCAGACAUACCUAAGGAGAAAGAGGUCAAAUUUUUAAAUCAGAUUAGAAUCAUCCUAUCUAUCACAGUGUUCUCUUUAUCUUUCUGCCCUGUUGUCCAGUUUCUAAGCAGAAUGAGCUCUGCCUAUUAAAAUUCCUCCAAAGAGCAUGGCAACAGGAACUUGAUUAAAAAUAUUGGUUAAGAUUCCAACUACACAAGGGGUACUAAUUAGUAAAAUAUUCUUUAUUUUAGUGUUGCACUAUUCAUACUUAUUAAUCCUCUUCAAUAUUUUAUAUUUUUAUUUUUCUCUGUUCUAUUGUUCUCACGAGGCUCUUAUUUAUUUGCUAAAUCAUGUCCUUUUUAUAUUUUAGAACACCGGGAAAUUCUGAGAUAUAAAAGACAAACACUCAGCUCAUAUGUCACUUUCUCUGGUUGGCUCUCUUCCCUUCUCUGAUCACAGACUGGGAACAACAGUUGUUUGGCUCCUUGAUAAGUACUUUCACUCAUGACAAGGAGGUGGUUAUUAGCAGAAUUUUCCUCGUUGAAGUGCCUGGGCUUAACUUGUAGAUUGCCCAAUCUCAGGUUGUACUGUGUGACAGUGAGCAAAGAAUCCAUUUAUCUCCAUCUGUCUUCAUUACUAAUUUAUGUGUCAUAAUAAUAAAGAGUAUCUCACAGUGAUGCUGUGAAAAUGAGCUAAGAUAUUCUAAUUAAAGCACUUAGUGUAGUGUGUGGCACCUAUGAAAUACUUGAAACUGGAUUUUGUUAAUUAGUUUGAAGUUUGGGUAAAUGGUGUUGAUCCAGAUUUGGAGGGUCUCAAGUGCAGUGUGUGCUCUACAAAUAUAUGAUAAAACUAAUGCAUCUCAGGAGGUAGAGCAAGCCUAGAAAAGGAGGCCUUGGACAACCACCUGGUGCCCAAAGAUAUUCUUAUAUAUAUAAAUAUCUUAUAUAUAUAAA